rnacentral:rRNA from 1 species
GAUAGGCUAAUUAAGAGCGUAUGGGGAAUGCCUUGGCUCUCAGAGGCUAUGAAGGACGUGAUAAGCUGCGAAAAGCUACGGGGAUCGGCACAUACGAUUUGAUCCGUAGAUAUCCGAAUGGGGAAACCCUCUAUGUUGAAGACAUAGAACCUUUUUUAAGGAGUUAACCCGGGGAACUGAAACAUCUAAGUACCCGGAGGAAAAGAAAACAAUUGUGAUUCCGCUAGUAGCGGCGAGCGAACGCGGAAUAGCCCAAACCUAUAUUGUUUCGGCAAUAUAGGGGUUGUAGGACCACGUUAUUCAAUGCUUAAUUAAUUAGAAUCUUCUGGAAAGUUGAACCAUAGAGGG